CAUGGCUUGCCCCAUCAGGGAGCUCAUCCUGCCGACGACAAAGCCACAAAUCAUCAAACUCUACGCGGCAGGGUCAGCAAGGGCUGCAUUUCCAAUAUGCACAGAAUGGACUCGACAAGAAGUACGCGGUCUCAUCAACCGUUCAAGAGGUUGGCAUCUUUGAGUUUCUUCUCGGCGAUGCGGAGGUUCGUCUGGUAGCUGUCAUUGUCUGGCUCGAGCUCCACUGCCUUGGCGUA